CCUACGGUGGGCAGCAGUGAGGAAUAUUGGUCAAUGGGCGAGAGCCUGAACCAGCCAAGUCGCGUGAAGGAUGAAGGAUCUAUGGUUUGUAAACUUCUUUUAUAUGGGAAUAAAGUGAGGAACGUGUUCCUUUUUGUAUGUACCAUAUGAAUAAGCAUCGGCUAACUCCGUGCCAGCAGCCGCGGUAAUACGGAGGAUGCGAGCGUUAUCCGGAUUUAUUGGGUUUAAAGGGUGCGUAGGUGGUUAAUUAAGUCAGCGGUGAAAGUUUGUGGCUCAACCAUAAAAUUGCCGUUGAAACUGGUUGACUUGAGUAUAUUUGAGGUAGGCGGAAUGCGUGGUGUAGCGGUGAAAUGCAUAGAUAUCACGCAGAACCCCGAUUGCGAAGGCAGCCUGCCGGGGUGCGACUGACGCUGAGGCUCGAAGGUGCGGGUAUCAAACAGGAUUAGAUACCCCUGUAGUC
rnacentral:rRNA from 1 species